ACCUUCUCACUGAGCUCCUUUCUGUCAUUCGGUGGCAGUUUAUGGAUUCGCACGAGAAGAAGAGACAAUUCACAGUUAGCAUUAUUUUGCCCUCUGUCUUCACAGAGGUAUAUUCUGCUGAUCUGUGAGACAUUU
ensembl:snoRNA SNORA75 Small nucleolar RNA SNORA75